UGGGGAAUAUUGGACAAUGGGCGCAAGCCUGAUCCAGCCAUGCCGCGUGUGUGAAGAAGGCCUUUUGGUUGUAAAGCACUUUAAGCGAGGAGGAGGCUACUUGGAUUAAUACUCUAGGCUAGUGGACGUUACUCGCAGAAUAAGCACCGGCUAACUCUGUGCCAGCAGCCGCGGUAAUACAGAGGGUGCGAGCGUUAAUCGGAUUUACUGGGCGUAAAGCGUGCGUAGGCGGCUUUUUAAGUCGGAUGUGAAAUCCCUGAGCUUAACUUAGGAAUUGCAUUCGAUACUGGGAAGCUAGAGUAUGGGAGAGGAUGGUAGAAUUCCAGGUGUAGCGGUGAAAUGCGUAGAGAUCUGGAGGAAUACCGAUGGCGAAGGCAGCCAUCUGGCCUAAUACUGACGCUGAGGUACGAAAGCAUGGGGAGCAAACAGG
rnacentral:rRNA from 1 species